AUUGAACGCUGGCGGCAGGCCUAACACAUGCAAGUCGAGCGAGCGGCGGACGGGUGAGUAAUGUCUGGGAAACUGCCUGCUGGAGGGGGAUAACUACUGGAAACGGUAGCUAAUACCGUAUACCAUCCGCUUUUCCCAGAUGGUAUUAGCUAGUAGGUGGGGUAACGGCUCACCUAGGCGACGAUCCCUAGCGGGUCUGAGAGGAUGACCAGCCACCCUGGAACUGAGACACGGUCCAGACUCGUACGGGAGGCAGCAGUGGGGAAUAUUUCACAAUGGGCGCAAGCCUGAUGCAGCCAUGCCGCGUGUAUGAAGAAGGCCUUCGGGUUGUAAAGUACUUUCAGCGGGGAGGCGUUACCCGCAGAAGAAGCACCGGCUAACUCCGUGCCAGCAGCCGCGGUAAUAC
rnacentral:rRNA from 1 species